GCCCAACCGUAGAAAGCUCCGGGUCGGGUACGAAAAAGCAAAUCCAAACGCGGGUUGUUCUUCCUCUCUCUCUCUCUCACUCGGCGGCGCCUUCUCUAUCCCAAAAUCGCAGGUUUGAGUCGAUCUCGAAGCACAUAGAUUCAAUUGACCUAAUUGUCUCCGUUCUCAUCAAAAAAACCUAAACCCAGGUCACUCUGCGAUUCUUAUCCCCUCGUUGCGUCGAACCUAACCUUUCCCAGUAUCAAACUCUGCACGCUCUCAGAACCGAUUGAACGAAGGUUUCGUCUUGAAAUUAGGGUUCCUCAUGGUGGAUGAUAUUGUCCCUUGGGUUUCUGCUAGAUUUAACCCAGAGAUGUGAAGAAAGGCCUCAAAUUUAGUUUUUUUUUUUUUUUUUAUAUGGCUUCGGAGCCUGUUGACGAUGGAGGAAGAGAGAAGCAGAGCAUUAGAGUUUACACGAGGAAAGGUAAAGGUCAGAGUAAACAGUCGCCUUUCUUCGCCUUUGCCGCCGAUGAAAUUAGGAAAGCAAACAAUCGUCGUGUGAAUCCUCCCGAAACUCUAGCUCGAGAGUCUUCGGAUCCUAUAGCUGUAGAAAAGACUGCUCUUGAGACCAAGUCGCGGGACGACGCUGGGGCCAGUGUAGCUAAAGUGAUUGAUAAGCCUCUCGUGGAAGCAUUUCGUGAUGAUGAUGAUGCCAGUUUGGCCGCUGCUGAUAAGAGCGUUAUUCAAACUGUACCAGGUCCUUUGGUUCAGGAUGAUGCGAAUACUAUUGUAGACGAUGUCAAUACAGUGGUUGUCGAUGAGAACUCUAUAAAGGAACCUUCUGAAAGCCUUGCACGAGAAGAAGAUGUUACUACCGUGGUUGUUGACAAGAAGGCUAUUGAAGCUCAUUCUCAAACUCUAUCCGUGGAAGAUAUCAAUGUUGUUGACAAGAAUCCCAUUGAAGUGUCUUCUGAAAACGUGGUGGAUGGAGUAAAAGAAGGUCAUCCUGAAAACCUUCCUGAAAGAGAUGCCCAACAGCCAGCAGGGGUUACCUCUGAUUCUGCUGGUGACAGCAUGCCAAUGGAGGAGGACGUAGAUGGACGCGUAAAGAUACACGUUGCCUCCAAAUCGAAGCAACAGAAAGAGGAGAUUAGGAAGACGCUUGAAGAUCAGCUUAACGUGGUCAGAGGUCUGGUAAAGAAGAUAGAGGAUAAAGAGGGCGGCGAGAUUGGUGCGUAUGACGACUCUCGUCUCUUGGCUAACACUGGUAUUACUAACGGAGGAGGAAGGAUUCUCUCAGGUUUUUCGUCAGCUGGACUUCCUCGUGAGGUCAUCAGAACACCAAGGCCUUUAAAUCAACUAAGUAUAUCCGUGUUAGAGAAUACUCAGGGGUUCAGUGAGCAUGUGGAGAAAGAGAAAAGAACACCCAAGGCAAAUCAGUUUUAUAGAACUUCAGAGUUCUUACUUGGUGACAAGUUGCCACCCACAGAGAGUAACAAGAAAUCAAAGUCAAAAUCAAAUGCAAAGAAGCACGGAGGGGAGGUUGGUCAUGGUUUGGGUGCAGGGUCUAAAGUUUUCAAGAGUUGCAGUGCUCUACUUGAAAGGCUGAUGAAGCAUAAGCAUGGUUGGGUGUUCAAUGCUCCUGUAGAUGUGAAGGCUCUAGGUUUGCAUGAUUACUUUACGAUUAUCGAGCACCCUAUGGAUUUGGGAACUGUAAAGUCUGCAUUAACAAGAAAUGUGUACGAGUCACCAAGAGAAUUUGCAGAGGAUGUUAGACUUACUUUCCACAAUGCCAUGACUUACAAUCCACCGGGACAGGAUGUCCAUAUCAUGGCGCAAGUGCUAUUACAGAUGUUUGAGGAGAGAUGGGCUGUCAUAGAGGCAGACUAUAAUCGUCAAAUGAGAUUUCUCACUAGUUAUGAGAUGAAUCUUCCAGCUUCUGCAAUGAGGUCUAGACUGGGUCCUACGAUGCCACCACCACCUAUUAAUGUGAGGAAUACAAUAGAUAGAGCAGACUGGAGUAGUCAUCAUCCAAAGCCAACAACAACGCCUGGCAGAACACCGAUCAGCACAACACCUUCUGGAAGGACACCUGCUCUGAAGAAGCCAAAGGCAAACGAACCAAAUAAAAGGGAUAUGACGUAUGAAGAGAAGCAGAAGCUUAGUGGCCAUUUGCAGAAUCUGCCUCCAGACAAACUAGAUGCAAUUGUGCAAAUUGUGAACAAGAGGAACACUGCUGUGAAGCUACAGGAUGAAGAAAUUGAAGUCGAUAUAGAUAGUGUUGAUCCGGAGACCCUGUGGGAGUUGGACAGAUUUGUAAUCAACUACAAAAAGGGUUUGAGCAAGAAAAAGAGAAAAGCCGAGCUAGCGAAUCAAGCUAGAGCAGAGGCCGAGAGGAAUGGCCAACAACAUAUGGCUCCAGCACCAGUGGCAUGUGAGUUUUCUAGGGAGGGUGGAAACACAGCUAAAAAGACACUCCCUACACCAUUACCUUCUCAAGUGGAGAAGCAAAACAAUGAGACAAGCAGAUCAAGUAGUUCAAGCAGCUCCUCCAGUAGUUCCAGCUCUUCUAGUGAUUCGGACAGCGAUAGCUCUUCGUCAUCUGGAUCAGAUCAGACUUAGAGACUGGACAAGAGAUUUGGUGUUGACAAAAAUGUAAGGUACAUGUGUUUCCUGGAUAGCACAUGUGUUAAUGGAAUCUUUUCAACGUGAAACAGGGCGUUUAAAAAGAUGGGGAAGAUAGCGUUAGAAGAGCAUAUGAGAGGCUAAGGAUGAUGUGACGUACAGGCUUGAGGCAGAAAUAUUAUACAGUAGUUGGGUUUGGAAGGAAAGAUUGUAUUGUAUUCGUAGAAUAAAUAUAUUUUUGAUUUUGGUUUUUAGAAUUGGUAGGAUGAUGUGGCUAUCUCUACUUUUAGAUGUAACCGUAGGAGGGUUGGUCUGGUCUGUUUCGGCACUUUUGUAUAUCUUUGCCUCUCUCUGUUCUGGUCUUGAGCAGAUUAGUUUGGUUGACUAGGUUCAUGUUUGUUUUAGUCAGGGCUUUUGAAUCAGAAAAUAUCAUCACAACAGAUUCUUGAUGACUAGUGUAUUUGUAAGCUUGUGACA